rnacentral:lncRNA from 1 species
GAUCGGCGGGGGGUUUACCCAACUAGUGGCCGAAGUUAUAUCGUUCAGGUCGUCCAGCCGGCCUCCUCCUUUUGUUCCUGCCCAAGCUCCGGAGCCGAGCUUUCUCGGUGCCGAAUCUUCAAGGCAGCCAAGUAUUGACAAGUCCGUCUCAGCCGCACUAGUUGUUCAAGCUCUCAGGUUCCCUCGGGCUUCAAGGCCGAGCGAGGACUCUAGUUUGACGGGAGCGAAGCCUGCCCCGUCUUUUGGCGAUGCUUCUGGAGAGAGGCCUGAGGCCUUCAUAGCUGAGAUGGGGACCCUUGCUAGCAGGGCUGAGAUCGCCUUUGUGAGGAAUGUCUAUGGGGUCCCUUCCGAGGUCGGUCCGACUGCCGAGGAUAGGGAACUCAGCUUUGUGGAUGAUGGGGGUGUAGUGGAGAAGGUCGGAGGCAAGUGUCCCAUUCUCAUCAAAGUGCUUGUCCUGGUUCG